CAUCAGCACACCUGGUCCUGAUCAUCGUCUUUCCUCUUCAUAAGCCCGGACCUGACAUCCAUUCCCUGCCGGAUCGUUAGCCAUGAACAUUACUCACCCGGAUCAUUUACCCCAUUCCCGCCUGGUCGUCGGAGGAUUACGCUACCCCAUUGGAUCCACCUAUUUACUCCCAUCAACUCACCACCGCUGCCCGCUACGCCACCUGGAUAUAUCUACCCAUUCACAUUCACUUAGCUUGUGCAGUGACUCUCACCUGAUAACAAAUGCCCUGCAGCUUAUCAGCCAACAUGUGACUGCCAUUGCCGAGGUGUCCCUUUGCAAACUUUACCAAUGGAGUUGGUGAUGUGCUAGACGAGUUGUGAGGUGAUUGUAUGAGCUGCUGGCUGGCUGGCUGGCUGGGGGUGUGUGUGUGUGUGUGUGUGUGUCGGUUUGACCGUAGAGUUCCCCUGUAACUAGCUGGCACCGGUGCCUCAUCCCAGCUGCAGGCCUACCCUGUAUUCAUGUAGCAGUCAUUUAGCACCUCCUUAGGUGCCUGCUGGCCCUCCCCUCAACAUACAGCUAAGGUGCUGGAGAGACUCCUGUCCAAUGAUGUCAAAGGCGUGUCUUCUUUAAAUCUCUUCUGUUUCACCCUGGAGCAGUGUGGUCACGAAGGCA